CGCGUGUGUCCCUAGCGGAAAAGGAGGGCAGGGAGAAAAAUGUAGCCGUUGGCAGUUGCCACGCUGGGGUGGGGGCGGCAGGACCGAUGCCAGCAGCAGCAGUAGACUGAGCUCAGCUAACGCGAGAAAAGCGGGGCCCGCGAGCUGGCGGCGCGGUGUCAUUGGUGUGGCACGUUCCGAUCCGCUGGCCUGGACGUGUGGUCUCUGCGUCGUGAAGCAUUUUGGACGGUUUGUUCGAGUCCAACGUGCCCGGUCAGCCCAGGCGUUUACCGCGCUCGCAACGGGACAGUGAGAAACCCAGAUUUUUUUUUUGAUAGGGUGAGAAACCGUGAAUUCUUUUUUUGCAAUAAAGAAACAGCGAAUUAGGCA
rnacentral:lncRNA from 1 species